AGAGUUCUUCUUUCAAGAUGUGGCCUCACACACCAGGAUUCAUUAGCUUUCAGCAAGACUCGAGAGAAUAUUGUGGAAAUCGCUUUGAUCAUGGAAGCCACUUUCGACUUGGGAAAGCAGACUUCACUAGGAGGAGGAUGCAAUUUAAGACUUCCAGCGUGCGGGCACCGGUAUAGAUAGUUCAAAACAAACAAACGAGACUCCGACCCGGUCCCGGCUCCGGCCGCAGCAGUGUGAUUUCUUGUUCGUUCGUUCGUAUUUCAUAAAAAGCAAGAACGAUCCAAACAUGUUCAAUGUUGCAAGUAGUUUCAUAUAGCUCACUUUGGAUGUGAAUUCAGGAAGCAGGGCUACAAAGCUGGGUGCUUCUACGCGACAUUUUGCGGGCUGGGCUGUAUUUGCUGGACAGAGGAGUACAGCAAAUCGUUAUAUGGCAGUUAUCAGAAUCGUUCUUACCAAGUGAAACAAUUCCAACUUUUGGUGAGAUCGCUGAAUCUGCGAGCACGGAC
rnacentral:lncRNA from 1 species